AGAGUUUGAUCCUGGCUCAGGACGAACGCUGGCGGCGUGCCUAAUGCAUGCAAGUCGCACGCGCCGCCUUCGGGCGGUGAGUGGCGCACGGCUGAGGAUCACGUGGGAACAUGCCUCCUUGUGGGGGACAACACCGCGAAAGCGGUGCUAAUCCCGCAUACGCUCGUGGAAGCGAGGAAAGCGGCAACGCGCAGGGAGAGUGGCCCGCGGCCCAUCAGGUCGUAGGUGGGGUAAUGGCCUACCUAGCCGGUGACGGGUAGCUGGUCUGUGAGGACAGACAGCCAGACUGGGACUGAGACACGGCCCAGACUCCUACGGGAGGCAGCAGCAAGGAAUUUUCGUCAAUGGGCGCAAGCCUGAACGAGCAACGCCGCGUGGAGGAUGACGGCCUUCGGGUUGUAAACUCCUUUUUCGGGGGACGAUAAUGACGGUACCCCGGGAAUAAGGCUCGGCUAACUCUGUGCCAGCCGCCGCGGUAAUAC
rnacentral:rRNA from 1 species